CUGGUAGAAGAGAAAGAAGGAAGUAGUCUCGAAUACAUUGGCAUAGGAGAUCACUUCCUAAAUAUAACACCAGUAGCAUAGACACUGAGAGAAACAAUCAAUCAAUGGGACCUAUUGAAACU